AUGCCUUAAACUUCAUGAGUAAGGAAAAUAACAAUUCAGGGUGACACCUGAAUCCUCCCAGCUAAUGUGAGAUGGAUUUUUGAGCAAGUAAAGGUUGCCCCUAAUGUGACUCACCUACUUUGUGAGAUGUUUGAGAGUCACGAUCUGUCCA
ensembl:snRNA U12 U12 minor spliceosomal RNA